GUUAGAUUUUUAAAAAAGUAAAAAAAAAUUAAAACGGUUAAAAAAGUUAGGGUUAGGAGUUAGGGAUUACUGGUUAGGAGUUAGGGGAUUAGUAGUUAGGGGUUAGUGCCGCGAAUUUAUUAUUAUGAUAAAUUCAAAAUGUGCUGCGCAGGGAUGCCGGAAGUUGCUGAGGGCAAGGGGUGCAAUUGGUUAACAAGAGGGCAUACUCCUUAACAAAAGGGCACCAAUGAAAAUGAAAGGGCGUCAUGAUCCUACAUUCGUGUCGACCUCCCUCCCCGCCACCAAAUUUUUUCGGACCGAAUACAAUUAUUUAGCCACAAUUCAUCUGUAAUUUCUCGACAAAAAUUCCAUAAGUGAUGCUUUCCGUUUCACCUUUCGCCAAAUGGAUAACAACUUUGCUGAAUUCCUGACGACUGGGGGGGUGGAACACCCCCCACACACUUCCUCGAGCAACGUUUAAUUAUGUCUGUUGUAAAAGUUUUGUGCACCUGUUACACCCAUAGUCUGCAC